rnacentral:lncRNA from 1 species
GGGGGCCGCAGCGCCCCCUGGUGGCCGGCGCCCGGCGGCGGGAUGACCGCGCCGCCCUCUGCGCGAGGACCUGGGCAGCAAGACCCCCGGAAAGCGGCGUGCAGCGGGUUGUUUCCCAGAGUGCGGCUCCUAUAGGUGGCACAUAUGAGGACAUUAUUACAGGCCUUCACGGAAUGUUAAUAUGUGCACAGUCACAGGCAUUGUGUUAUCUAUUUUUUAAAAAGAUAAGAGAUUGUGGACCUGUCAAUAUCUUCUGACCUGACUAGUAGCAUGACAAAGAUCCCUUUGCCCUCAGCCAACACCUCUGCUACUCAGUGGACAUGUGACCACGGGACCUCUCACAUACUAUAGCAUCCGGAAGCGGCUGACCAGAGAGAGUAACACAAUGAUCUUUUGAAGAUGUAGCUAUGUGCCAGUCUGAAGAUGAUACUCUGCCCAGAGAGGACCCUAAAUUAAUGACUGUAUAUGCUACGAUGUCCCUGAUCGGUGGGCUCUCUAUGAAACAGGGAACCAACAGGUGAAAGUUAGAUUGGCCCCACUUGCCUUUGUUAGGAGUGACCCACUUGGAGACCCCUUCUUGUACCCUCAGUCCUAGGCUUUGGGCCUCUAGAGGUCCUAGUUGUCAAAGAGGAGUGCUUCCACUAUGAGCCUUAUUAUUAGUCCCAUUAAACUUUCAGCUACAAAUGCAGUCCAGUUACAAAGGGCUCCUUAGUAGAGAAACAAAAUAAUUAACACACCUGAGGGUAAUUGAACUUAUUCAUAGGAAGGAAAUACACUUAUUUUAUACAAAUCAAGGCAGGAAAGAAUAAGUUAAACACUGGAGAGAUCUCUUGUGGCUAUCUCUCAUUACCCCUGACAAAAAUUUUUGGCUUGGCCAAACUUUAGUCAGGCUCCGAAGACUUCUCCUAGGCCCAUCUGUGCACUUCCUUGUAAAAUCGUUUUACAAAGAACCUGCCAAGUCUGUUUAGCAAGAAGCCCCCACCCUCAAUAUCCGAUCAACCUGGAAAAUCCGACCAACGUGGAGAGCUGAUCCUGAUCAAUCUGAUCAACCUGGAAAGCUGAUCCUGUUCCUCAUCAUCUACUUUCUCCCCAGGUGAUGUCUGAUCAUCCUGCCUUGUCUUCAGCAAGAAUCCUGUUUGGUCGGUUGAACCAGAGUUCCCCGACCCUUCAUGUUUCCUCUAAGUAAUUUUCCUCCACUGAGUCCCACCCUGCUCCUUGCUAUAAAUUCCCACUUGCCCAUGCUUCAUUUGGAGUUGAGCCUAAUCUCUCUGCCUUAACGCAAAAUCUGAUUGCCGAGCUUCCUAUGCCUCUCUCAAUGGUCCCAAAUAAAGUCUGUCUGACUGUGC